rnacentral:lncRNA from 1 species
CUUUGGUUCAACAAAAUUUGCUGGACAAAGGGCAAAAAAACAGAACAUAUAACACAUCCAGAACCACCAGACUAUUAGAACCAAAUUGCUUAACUUUGGUUCAACAAAAUUUGCUGGACAAAGGGCAAAAAAACAGAACAUAUAACACAUCCAGAACCACCAGACUAUUAGAACCAAAUUGCUUAACUUUGGUUCAACAAAAUUUGCUGGACAAAGGGCAAAAAAACAGAACAUAUAACACAUCCAGAACCACCAGACUAUUAGAACCAAAUUGCUUAACUUUGGUUCAACAAAAUUUGCUGGACAAAGGGCAAAAAAACAGAACAUAUAACACAUCCAGAACCUAAAACAAAUACAACACAAUAUAGAAUCUAAAACUCAAAGUUUUAAAGUAAUAAACAUCCACAAAUACAAAUCCAUAACAUAAUUCUACAAUUUAAAGCUCAAAUUUCCAGCCACUAGUGCUAAAGACUAAACUCUGAAUCAUCCACUUCAUUUGACUGUUGCUCACUCAUCCAACUUUCAUCAAUCAAAUGCUCUGCAGAAAGUAUUGUUUCCUCAGGAAUUCCAUCUACAAAAAAUGUGUAAAUCAUAAACAUAAUAUGAACAAGACAACCAAUUAGUGAUAAAUUAAUAAUAAGAACAAUACAACAAAUAAUUUGAUUCUAAUAAAUAAAAUUUUCAUACCUUUUAAGUUUUGUUUAAGCCAAAACCAAUUUUGAGUGCACACCAAUGCCUCUACUGUGGAUGGGUGAAGUCUACUGCGAUGAGGGCUCAAAUGUCUACCUCCAGUGCUAAAAGCGGACUCCGAAGCAACUGUUGAUACAGGAAUGGCCAAAAAGUCCCUUGCAAUCUUUGCAAGUAUAGGAUACUUGCCUUGAUUAUUCUUCCACCAUGAUAAAAUGUCAAAUUGACUAGUUGAAGGCAAAGUAGUCUCCUCAAGAUAAAGCUCUAAUUCUAAUUUGGAAUGAAUAUUUUGUGUGUUUUCAUUUCUAAAUAAUGCCCACUCAUCAGCCAUUUCAUCCAAAUCUAAAUCUAACAUAUUAGAGUCCCCUCCUGCAGCAGCUUGAGAAUUGGCACCAUUAACCCCCCCACUUGAAUUUGAUAGAUGAUUUAACAAAUAACUUACGCACUCUUUCAAUUUCGGAUUCAACUUUUUCCCCAUAUAUUUUAGGAAAUAAAAAGUUAAUCAGUAACAUUUUACGCUUAGGAUCUAACAUAGUCCCCACUGCAAGAACUCCAUGAAUAUCAUCCCAAUAUUUUUCACACUUCGCAAUCAUCCUAGUGGCCAUAUUUUUAUCCCCUCAAUUGGCACAGUGAGUAUCCUAACCGAAUUUCGUUAAUUUAUAUGAAGAGAACAGUUCUUAUGCUGAUGAAGAAAAUUACAGGACAUUAUUAAUCAAGAAUUCAUAAGAUUAAGAUUUUAAUCCAGACAUUAUUAAUCAAGAAUUCAUAAGACUAUAUGAAGAGACAUUAUUAAUCAAGAAAAUUACAGAACAUUAACUUUGAAUUCUUAACAAGA